AGUUCAGAUCGAUGAUCGGGAUCGACGCGAUAAUUCGCGGUCGAACACGGCGUGCUUUGUCGGGGGAGAUGCCUCAUCGCGGAUCCCGGGAAAACAGACGCAAUUAAUUAUAAGAAUUCGCAUGGCAGAUGGAUUCGCUCAUCAAUGGAUUUGAUGUACGUAGGUGGAAAACGAAAUACGUAUUCGAGCAACGACGUUGUUUAAUAGCAGCGGAUCAACGUAAGCAUAAUAAAAUUUUUACUGUCGCAAAAAUAUAAAACGCUUCAAGUUUUAUUUCUAUUUUAUUUUAAUGUCUAUCAUAUAACGCUAUCAUUUUGUGAUGAUACUAUAUAUGAAUGGAUAAGUCUAUAUGGUUCCUUAAUUGCUAACAUUGACAACAAUAAUACAAUUUACAAGAAUAAUAGUUACAAAUAUUAAAUGACAGUUCCCAUACUCAAAACUGAUUUAAGUAGGUACCGAUCUCGAGAUUACAUAUAU